GAUGAACGCUGGCCGCGCGCCUAAUUCAUGCAACUCGAGCCACAAGACGUGGAGAUUGCUCCUCUGACGUUAGCGGCGGACGGGUGAGUAACAAGUGGAUAAACUACCUAUAAGACUGGGAUAACUUCGGCAAACCGGAGCUAAUACCGGAUAAUAUAUUGAACCGCAUGGUUCAAUAGUGAACGACGGUUUCGCUGUCCACCAUAGAUGGAUCCGCGCCGCAUUAGCUAGUUGGUAAGGUAACGGCUUACCAAGGCAACGAUGCGUAGCCGACUUGAGAGGGUGAUCGGCCACACUGACACUGAGACACGGUCCGGACUCCUACGGAGGGCAGCGGUAGGGAAUCUUCCGCAAUAGACAAAAGCCUGACGAAGCAACGCCGAGUGAGUGAUAAAGGUCUUCGGAUCGUAAAACUCUGUUGUUAGGGAGGAACAAAAGUGUAAGUAACUAUGCGCGUCUUGACGGUACCUAAUCAGAAGGCCAGGGCUGGCUACGUG
rnacentral:rRNA from 1 species